UACAGAGGUCUCAAGCGUUGUUCGGAUUCAUUGGGCGUAAAGGGGUGUCGUAGGUGGCGCGGCUAAGUCGGGUGUGAAAUUUCGGAGCUUAACUCCGAAACUGCAUUCGAUACUGGCGUGCUUGAGGACUGGAGAGGAGACUGGAAUUCAUGGUGUAGCAGUGAAAUGCGUAGAGAUCAUGAGGAAGACCAGUGGCGAAGGCGGGGUCAUCUG
rnacentral:rRNA from 1 species